ACUUUUUAAAAAAACAGGGCCUUAGGCAGUCAGGUAACUUCUUCUGAUCGAUGGUGUCCUACAAAAAAAAGAGAGUGACAAACAUGUAAGUAGGUCCUCUUCAUUCUGAUACGGUACCAAACAUGUAGGCCCAUGGUUUCUCUAAGCCAGCCCAAGCCCACAGACCGGCACCAAUCUCCACGCACGAUCGCACAGUGGAAAAUUACCAUGUUCAUUCUUCCUUCUCGCCCCCAAAUACUCGUAUCACGAAUACGCAAAGGUCUUUUUUUAUUAAUAAUAGAAGAAAAGUGAAUAUAACUACAAGGGCUGGUGCAUCUUGCAACAUGUACGCGACAUGUCAUGCACUAGAGCACCUGAGCAGAGAAAAAUGGGUUGCUCAGCCCCAACAACAAAAGGCUACAUCUUGGGAAGUAUGUUCGUCCCGUAGACGAGUCGGGAGAUGGAAGGUUGUUGGCCGUCGAAGAUGCGCCAAUUGUGGUGCUUCCAAAUGGUUGUGGUGAUUUCAAAUAUGGGGCGGAUAUAAAGGCGUCACGCGUGUAAGAACCGACAGCGUGACCCCACCAUAAAUUGAAUCAAAUCCAUCCUCAAAAGUGUCCGAUCCAUUUGCUCUUUUCUCUCUUCUUUCUAAUCCGCGUCGUCCGUCUUGCAGCUCCCCAGUCGUUCCUAGCCUCCGCCUUGCCAGAUCCGGGAGAGCAGUCCUCUCUCCCAUCCUUGCCGUGGGGACAUUGUCGUCGGAUUGGACGCUGCCAUGAGAAAACGAUGGAUUCCGAUACAUCAAGUUUUUUGGAGAAUUGUUCGUGGAACUAUAGUGAUGUAAGAAUCAGAAACAUUGUGGCACCUCAUGACAUAUUGUGUUAUUUUGCACAAUAUGAUUGUCAGGGAUGAGGUUGACGAUGUAGCUCAAACCAAUGAUUUUGAAGCACCUCGAGAACAAGUUGAAAUCCUGCAAGAUCAAGAUGCAGCUCAGCUUAUGAACUUUCUACACGUGCAUCAGAAUUUUCGAGAUCGGCGUGUGACUCCCUGCUGAUUUGUGGUGGUUUCCCUCCAAGCUUAAAAGGAUGGUCUAACAGAGAAACACAAGUAUUUCCCUCAAUUAUGAAACCAAGGUAUCAAGCUAGUAGGAAGAUCCAGAAGACCAUGUAAGCGAUACCUCCACGCAAAUAACAAAUCCUCGCAACCCAAAGCGUGUAGGAGUUAUCAAUCCCUUGUGGGUAAAGUAAAAGAUAGAUUGAUAGAUGCAAAUAAAGUGAUAGAAAAUAAAACA